rnacentral:rRNA from 1 species
CGUAGGGUGCGAGCGUUAAUCGGAAUUACUGGGCGUAAAGCGUGCGCAGGCGGUUUUGUAAGACAGGCGUGAAAUCCCCGGGCUCAACCUGGGAACUGCGCUUGUGACUGCAAGGCUAGAGUACGGCAGAGGGGGUGGAAUUCCACGUGUAGCAGUGAAAUGCGUAGAGAUGUGGAGGAACACCAAUGGCGAAGGCAGCCCCCUGGGUCGAUACUGACGCUCAUGCACGAAAGCGUGGGUAGCAAACAGGAUUAGAUACCCUGGUAGUCCACGCCCUAAACGAGUGUCAACUAGGUGUUGGGUGGGUAAAACCAUUUAGUACCGGAGCUAACGCGUGAAGUUGACCGCCUGGGGAGUACGGCCGCAAGGUUA